UGUGAACUCGAAGAGUAGGGCGGGACACGUGGUAUCCUGUCUGAAUAUGGGGGGACCAUCCUCCAAGGCUAAAUACUCCUGACUGACCGAUAGUGAACCAGUACCGUGAGGGAAAGGCGAAAAGAACCCCGGCGAGGGGAGUGAAAAAGAACCUGAAACCGUGUACGUACAAGCAGUGGGAGCCUCUUUUAUGGGGUGACUGCGUACCUUUUGUAUAAUGGGUCAGCGACUUAUAUUCUGUAGCAAGGUUAACCGUAUAGGGGAGCCGAAGGGAAACCGAGUCUUAACUGGGCGUUAAGUUGCAGGGUAUAGACCCGAAACCCGGUGAUCUAGCCAUGGGCAGGUUGAAGGUUGGGUAACACUAACUGGAGGACCGAACCGACUAAUGUUGAAAAAUUAGCGGAUGACUUGUGGCUGGGGGUGAAAGGCCAAUCAAACCGGGAGAUAGCUGGUUCUCCCCGAAAGCUAUUUAGGUAGCGCCUCGUGAACUCAUCUUCGGGGGUAGAGCACUGUUUCGGCUAGGGGGCCAUCCCGGCUUACCAACCCGAUGCAAACUACGAAUACCGAAGAAUGUUAUCACGGGAGACACACGGCGGGUGCUAACGUCCGUCGUGAAGAGGGAAACAACCCAGACCGCCAGCUAAGGUCCCAAAGUCAUGGUUAAGUGGGAAACGAUGUGGGAAGGCACAGACAGCCAGGAUGUUGGCUUAGAAGCAGCCAUCAUUUAAAGAAAGCGUAAUAGCUCACUGGUCGAGUCGGCCUGCGCGGAAGAUGUAACGGGGCUAAACCAUGCACCGAAGCUGCGGCAGCGACGCUUAUGCGUUGUUGGGUAGGGGAGCGUUCUGUAAGCCGUUGAAGGUGUCCUGUGAGGGGUGCUGGAGGUAUCAGAAGUGCGAAUGCUGACAUAAGUAACGAUAAAGCGGGUGAAAAGCCCGCUCGCCGGAAGACCAAGGGUUCCUGUCCAACGUUAAUCGGGGCAGGGUGAGUCGACCCCUAAGGCGAGGCCGAAAGGCGUAGUCGAUGGGAAACAGGUUAAUAUUCCUGUACUUGGUGUUACUGCGAAGGGGGGACGGAGAAGGCUAUGUUAGCCGGGCGACGGUUGUCCCGGUUUAAGCAUGUAGGCGGAGGUUCCAGGUAAAUCCGGUUCCUUGUUAACGCUGAGGUGUGAUGACGAGGCACUACGGUGCUGAAGUAACAAAUGCCCUGCUUCCAGGAAAAGCCUCUAAGCAUCAGGUAACAUCAAAUCGUACCCCAAACCGACACAGGUGGUCAGGUAGAGAAUACCAAGGCGCUUGAGAGAACUCGGGUGAAGGAACUAGGCAAAAUGGUGCCGUAACUUCGGGAGAAGGCACGCUGAUAUGUAGGUGAAGCCCCUGCGGGUGGAGCUGAAAUCAGUCGAAGAUACCAGCUGGCUGCAACUGUUUAUUAAAAACACAGCACUGUGCAAACACGAAAGUGGACGUAUACGGUGUGACGCCUGCCCGGUGCCGGAAGGUUAAUUGAUGGGGUUAGCGGUAACGCGAAGCUCUUGAUCGAAGCCCCGGUAAACGGCGGCCGUAACUAUAACGGUCCUAAGGUAGCGAAAUUCCUUGUCGGGUAAGUUCCGACCUGCACGAAUGGCGUAAUGAUGGCCAGGCUGUCUCCACCCGAGACUCAGUGAAAUUGAACUCGCUGUGAAGAUGCAGUGUACCCGCGGCAAGACGGAAAGACCCCGUGAACCUUUACUAUAGCUUGACACUGAACACUGGUCCUUGAUGUGUAGGAUAGGUGGGAGGCUUUGAAGCGUGGACGCCAGUCUGCGUGGAGCCAACCUUGAAAUACCACCCUUUAAUGGCUGGUGUUCUAACGUAGACCCGUGAUCCGGGUUGCGGACAGUGUCUGGUGGGUAGUUUGACUGGGGCGGUCUCCUCCCAAAGAGUAACGGAGGAGCACGAAGGUUAGCUAAUCCUGGUCGGACAUCAGGAGGUUAGUGCAAUGGCAUAAGCUAGCUUGACUGCGAGAGUGACGGCUCGAGCAGGUGCGAAAGCAGGUCAUAGUGAUCCGGUGGUUCUGAAUGGAAGGGCCAUCGCUCAACGGAUAAAAGGUACUCCGGGGAUAACAGGCUGAUACCGCCCAAGAGUUCAUAUCGACGGCGGUGUUUGGCACCUCGAUGUCGGCUCAUCACAUCCUGGGGCUGAAGUAGGUCCCAAGGGUAUGGCUGUUCGCCAUUUAAAGUGGUACGCGAGCUGGGUUUAGAACGUCGUGAGACAGUUCGGUCCCUAUCUGCCGUGGGCGCUGGAGAAUUGAGGGGGGCUGCUCCUAGUACGAGAGGACCGGAGUGGACGCAUCACUGGUGUUCGGGUUGUCAUGCCAAUGGCACUGCCCGGUAGCUAAAUGCGGAAGAGAUAAGUGCUGAAAGCAUCUAAGCACGAAACUUGCCCCGAGAUGAGUUCUCCCUGAGACUUUAAGUCUCCUGAAGGAACGUUGAAGACUACGACGUUGAUAGGUCGGGUGUGUAAGCGCAGCGAUGCGUUGAGCUAACCGAUACUAAUGAACCGUGAGGCUUAACCUUACAACGCCGAAGGUGUUU
rnacentral:rRNA from 1 species